CGGCGUUGCAACAAUCGUUUUCUUUUCUUGUUUUUGCGGGUCGGUUGCGGUUCACGAUCCGCCCUCAAGGAAUACUACACCCUACUCAUUGCGGUGCGUCACGUACCAAGUGUAAAUGACCUUACUCACGCAUAACUUGAAGAAUGAUGCGUAAUACGCUCGUAUUUCAGUUAUAAAUGAAUGAUUUGUGUAUAUAUUUAUUUUUGAAGAAAAAGGAAAUCCAUUUAAACAUUUGGCUUCGGUAAGCAUAAACUUCAAUUCGUUGUGGCUCGAAUGACAGAUCAGAUGAACGAGGUACGCGUACGGUUGGUAUUUGCAACUUGAAUUCAAAAUGAGUACGGAGAAAAUUUCUUUGGAAUUAUAGCUCAAUUAGUAGGCUACGUUGCGAAAUGUUACAAGACUUGUAAAUAAUUUAUUCCGCACAAGACCCUCUGCACCCACAAAAAAAAAGAAAGAAAGAACAUAUUCUACCACGUUGGUGAUGGAUGGAGUGCAUAUACAAUAGUCAUUUUUAUGCACUUUGAUUUAUUGUAUAGAUCUGGAUGUGUGUACACACAUGUACACAGAACGGAAUGUUCGCGUUGCUGCCAGAUAUGGGAAAUAUAUCUCUCCGUGUCGAUCGUUUACAUAUA